AUGAAGGCAUGGCAGAAUGCAUGGAUGACAUAUCACUUUAAUGUCUCCAAUGGCCUAGAAAGGAUAGCAAGGGAUCUAAAGAACUGGGAGAUAAACACACUGGGUAAUCUGAAUCAGAGGAUAAAAUGUUUAAAGACUGAACUUGAAGAGGUGAGAAGGAAAGAUAUAUCACAGGAACAAGUAUCACACGAGCUAUUUUUGAGAGAAAAACUAAAUAGAUUACAGCAGCAACAAGAUACAUACUGGAGACAAAGGGCGCAUGCCAACUGGUUAAAGUCUGGUGACAGGAACACAAAGUACUUCCAUGCCUUUGCUUCUGAAAGAACGAAAAAGAACACAACAUCCAAGUUGAAAAGGGAUGAUGGUGGUUGGGUGGAAGGCCAAGCAAAUUUGAAGGAACUCAUAUAUGAUUACUUCUCAGCCUUGUUUACAUCCACGGCCGUAGUAGAUAAUGAAGAAGUUACAAGACAUGUACAUAGAAAGGUGGACCGACAAAUGAAUGAAAUUUUGUGUGCUGAAUAUUCAAGGCAAGAGGUCAAAUCUGCAAUUGAAAACAUUGGAGAUCUAAAGGCCCCAGGCCCUGAUGGAAUGCCGGCUAUUUUCUAUAAAAAAUUCUGGCAUCUUGUGGGGGAAAAAGUGAUAGAUGAGGUGCUGACUUUUCUAAGAGGAGGAGACAUGCCACAGGGAUGGAAUGACACUUUGGUGGUUCUCAUCCCAAAGGUAAACAAUCCGGAAAAACUAAAAGACUUGAGGCCUAUUAGUUUAUGCAAUGUCAUAUACAAGAUAGUGUCCAAGGUUAUCACUAAUAGGCUAAAGGUAAUCCUCCCGGAUAUUAUCUCCCAUAAUCAAAGUGCAUUUAUUCCGGGAAGAAUGAUUUCAGAUAAUAUUCUUUUGGCAUAUGAGCUAACCCAUUUCUUGCAGAAUAAGAGAAGUGGAAAGAAUGGGUAUGCAGCCUUGAAGCUUGACAUGAGCAAGGCUUAUGAUCGAGUAGAAUGGUGCUUUCUCCAGGAUAUGAUGAGGAAAAUGGGCUUUGAAAGGAGAUGGAUUCAUCUGAUCAUGAAGUGCGUAAUGACAGUAUGA
rnacentral:rRNA from 1 species